CAACAGGGUUUUUAAAUGAAGUGAAAAUAGAGCUUGUGCUUUACUCUAAUGAUUUAUUUACGGAUGAACUCUCAGAUUCACAAUCUUCUGCUUUCAAAAACAGGGCUCGUUUGUUUGAAGAUUUACUGUCAGAUCUUUUCAAGACGUUUCAUUCCUUCCUAAGAGUCACUGUGCUAAACUUCAGGAAGGGCUCAGUCAUUACCACAACAGAUGUCAUUUUCAACUCUACACAGGAUAAUGUCCCAACAGAGAAUCAAGUUGCAAACACAUUACUGAAUGAGAAAGCAACUCUCAACACCCUGAACAUAACUUCGUUAAUAGUUAAUG